rnacentral:rRNA from 1 species
GAUGAACGCUGGCGGCGUGCCUAAUACAUGCAAGUCGAGCGAACAGACGAGAAGCUUGCUCUUCUGCCGUUAGCGGCGGACGGGCGAGUAACACGUGGAUAACCUACCUAUAAGACUGGGAUAACUUCGGGAAACCGGAGCUAAUACCGGAUAAUAUAUUGAACCGCAUGGUUCAAUAGUGAAAGACGGUUUUGCUGUCACUUAUAGAUGGAUCCGCGCCGCAUUAGCUAGUUGGUAAGGUAACGGCUUACCAAGGCAACGAUGCGUAGCCGACCUGAGAGGGUGAUCGGCCACACUGGAACUGAGACACGGUCCAGACUCCUACGGGAGGCAGCAGUAGGGAAUCUUCCGCAAUGGGCGAAAGCCUGACGGAGCAACGCCGCGUGAGUGAUGAAGGUCUUCGGAUCGUAAAGCUCUGUUAUUAGGGAAGAACAAAUGUGUAAGUAACUAUGCACGUCUUGACGGUACCUAAUCAGAAAGCCACGGCUAACUACGUG